CGUCUCCGCCGCACUGUUCUCUCCCCCCGGAUCUUCCACACAGCGUUGUCUUCUGAGCCAGCUGACCUAAGAGGCAGCUGUUAGGUGGCGAUAUGGGAACUCAGCGUUUUCCAUCAAAACCGGAGAGGACUAGGAAAAGAUGAUCUCCACCCACCUUGAACUUCCUCAGUGGCCUGACUACCCUCCAUUAGAAUGCAAGGACCAAAAUAAAAGUCUCCUAGAGCUCCAUGACCUAUGUCAUUUUCCAGCUCUAUCUCACUCCCCGAAGUACUCCAG